AACGAACGCUGGCGGCAUGCCUAACACAUGCAAGUCGAACGAGACCUUCGGGUCUAGUGGCGCACGGGUGCGUAACGCGUGGGAAUCUACCCUUGGGUUCGGAAUAACAGUUAGAAAUGACUGCUAAUACCGGAUGAUGACGUAAGUCCAAAGAUUUAUCGCCCAAGGAUGAGCCCGCGUAAGAUUAGCUUGUUGGUGGGGUAAUGGCCUACCAAGGCGACGAUCUUUAGCUGGUCUGAGAGGAUGAUCAGCCACACUGGGACUGAGACACGGCCCAGACUCGUGCGGGAGGCAGCAGUGGGGAAUAUUGGACAAUGGGCGAAAGCCUGAUCCAGCAAUGCCGCGUGAGUGAUGAAGGCCUUAGGGUUGUAAAGCUCUUUUACCAGGGAUGAUAAUGACAGUACCUGGAGAAUAAGCUCCGGCUAACUCCGUGCCAGCCGCCGCGGUAA
rnacentral:rRNA from 1 species